UGCAGGUCGAGCGGUAGAGAGAAGCUUGCUUCUCUUGAGAGCGGCGGACGGGUGAGUAAUGCCUAGGAAUCUGCCUGGUAGUGGGGGAUAACGUUCGGAAACGGACGCUAAUACCGCAUACGUCCUACGGGAGAAAGCAGGGGACCUUCGGGCCUUGCGCUAUCAGAUGAGCCUAGGUCGGAUUAGCUAGUUGGUGAGGUAAUGGCUCACCAAGGCGACGAUCCGUAACUGGUCUGAGAGGAUGAUCAGUCACACUGGAACUGAGACACGGUCCAGACUCCUACGGGAGGCAGCAGUGGGGAAUAUUGGACAAUGGGCGAAAGCCUGAUCCAGCCAUGCCGCGUGUGUGAAGAAGGUCUUCGGAUUGUAAAGCACUUUAAGUUGGGAGGAAGGGCAGUUGCCUAAUACGUAACUGUUUUGACGUUACCGACAGAAUAAGCACCGGCUAACUCUGUGCCAGCAGCCGCGGUAAUACAGAGGGUGCAAGCGUUAAUCGGAAUUACUGGGCGUAAAGCGCGCGUAGGUGGUUUGUUAAGUUGGAUGUGAAAUCCCCGGGCUCAACCUGGGAACUGCAUUCAAAACUGACUGACUAGAGUAUGGUAGAGGGUGGUGGAAUUUCCUGUGUAGCGGUGAAAUGCGUAGAUAUAGGAAGGAACACCAGUGGCGAA
rnacentral:rRNA from 1 species